GGAGCGCAGUCGCACUCGGUGAAGUAUGGUGCUAAAGCACAGAAAGGCGGUGUGAAAUGAGGGCUGAAGUGUUGAGGCUCAGCCCGAAUGAGGAGCAGGAGACUGCGCCUGCAGCAGGUCCGUCCAGCGAGAAUCACCAGCGACAGAAGCUGUUCCUGUCACAUGACCGCUGGCCAGGCACCGGAACCGAGCAGAUCAUAGAUGCAUACAGCAACGAGAUGAGCGCUUUCCUGAGACACGCAGCAGGGA